rnacentral:rRNA from 1 species
GUGUCAGCAGCCGCGGUAAGACGAACCGUACGAACGUUAUUCGGAAUCACUGGGCUUAAAGGGUGCGUAGGCGGCGCAGAAAGUUGGGUGUGAAAUCCCUCGGCUUAACCGAGGAAUUGCGCCCAAAACUACUGUGCUCGAGGGAGGUAGAGGUGAGCGGAACUUAGGGUGGAGCGGUGAAAUGCGUUGAUAUCCUAAGGAACACCGGUGGCGAAAGCGGCUCACUGGACCUCUUCUGACGCUGAGGCACGAAAGCUAGGGUAGCAAACGGGAUUAGAUACCCCGGUAGUCC